GAUGAAGAACGCAGUGAAAUGCGAUACGUAAUGUGAAUUGCAGAUUUCAGUGAAUCAUCGAAUCUUUGAACGCACAUUGCGCCCGCCAGUAUUCUGGCGGGCAUGCCUGUUCGAGCGUCAUUUCAACCAUCAAGCGCCUCGCUUGAGUUGGGGCCCUGCGGCUGCCGCAGGCCCCUAAAUCCAGUGGCGGGCUCGUCGUCGUACCGAGUGCAGUAAACAUCCUCGCUCAGGGAACCCGACGGGUGCCGGCCGUGAAACCCCCCCUCCUCAAGGUUGACCUCGGAUCAGGUAGGAAUACCCGCUGAACUUAAGCAUAUCAAUAAGCGGAGGA
rnacentral:misc_RNA from 1 species